GGGGAAGGGCGGCGGUCGCAGCCUUUGUGCGGGACGGGAGGAGGAGUCUCGACUCCCCGGGACAGCCGGGGCACCGGGGAGGAUCCCUCGUUCUCCCUCGGCAGUUUCCCGGAGAGGCGGCGGGGAAGGGCCGACGAUGGACCUCGAUGGGCCGGACGCCGCCCGCCGGGAGGCAGAGCUGGAGCGCGGCCGCUACUUGAGCCGCCGGGCCGUGGCCCAGGAGCAGCUGGCGCAAAUAAAGGAGCACAAGGAUCAGGCAUAUCUGGCCAAGCUAGAAAACAAAAGAGAAGGGGAACAAAUACAGAGAUUGACCCAAUUGUACCAACUGGAAAUUCAGAGAGGAAAAGAAAAGGAACAGGAGGAAAAAGUUGAACGGCAGAGGCUGCAUCAUGAAUAUGUAGCUGAACAGAAAGUAAUUAAAGCUGAAGAGAAACAAAGAGAAGACAAAGAUGAUGAUUGGAUUAAGGCUUAUAUUAAAGGUAAAGAAAUGAUGGCUGAUCUGGCAAGAGAAAAAGAUGCAGAGACUAACAGGCUGAUGCAGAAGCAGAUGGACAAAGCUUUUGAAACCUAUCUGCACAGAUGAACAAGGCAUUUAAGAUUGAAGAUGAUUGCCUUGUGAGAGGAGCUGCAGAGGUAGAAGCUGAAUACCAAAUGAAAAACAAGGAGAAAGAAGCAAGACAGAAGGCUGCCAUUGAAUCUAUUGCUGAACACAGAGCCACUGUGAUUAAGAUGAAAGAGGAAAAGGAGGAGACAGGAAAAAGAAGAGGCUGAAAAAGAACAUGAUGUGUUAAUGGAAAGCACCCGCAUCUACCAGGAAAUGGAAAAAGCCAAGAAGCAAAGACAACGUGAUGCAAACAUGGAAGUACAGAAAAUUCAGAUCCAGCAAAUGGCUGAAAAGCAGGCAAAAAAACAGCAGGAAAAGCAAGCAGACUUGGAUUACGAUGCUCAGAGAGAAACUGCUUUUCAUCAGGAUCAAGCAUUUUGGAGAUAAAGACAAAAUAUAUUUGACUACUAUCUAAGUAUCUACAAAGGAAAAGGAAGCUUGCCAUUCUCUCCUUCCAAGUUCUAUAUGCCUGCAAAACCUAUCAGAGCCCAACAGGUGAAGCUAACUCUGGAACAAGUUACAAAACAUGCUGUUUGCCAAAACGUGCCUAUACUCAACUUCAGCUCAAGAAACAAGUGCCAUAGUUCACAACUGUACUUUAACUAGUCUAAUUUUAUUAUGGAACAAAGCAGUAGAUUCACUUUUUAUGAAGUCAAGAGGUAACAACCACAGGAUUUAUACCUACUGAAAUACAGAUGCAGCAACACUGGAGUAAUGGACACCUUGCAACAGACUCCUAGCUUUAAGAUGACAUGUAGUAUAUCUGCAGCUUUCUUCUUCACAUAUGGAACGAGCCUCUUCACAGGCAGCCAUUGCUUGCACUGAACUAUGCUCAUCAGGUAAAAAAUAAAUGUGGCAUAGAAGUUACCUUUCUAGCUGACAACACAUAAGAAGGAUACAAAUUCAAUGAAAUACUUAAAACACAGCACACUGUAUUACACAUAUAAUUUGUUUUUCAUUUCAAGUUUAUUAAAACUUUAGCAGUACAAAUGAUCCAGGUUUUAGAUUAUCAAAA